CAGUCAGAUGUGAAAGCCUCCUGUUCAACGGGAGAAUUGCAUCUGAAACUACUGAUCUUGAGUGUAGGAGGGGAGAAUGGAACUUCUGGUGGAGCGGUGAAAUGCGUAGAUAUCAGAAGGAACGCCGGCGGCGAAAGCAAUUCUUUGGCCUAUUACUGACACUUCGUGUGCGCACCUAAGGGAGAAAACGGGAUUAGAUACCCCGUCAGUCCUAGCGGAAAACGAU
rnacentral:rRNA from 1 species